UACGUAGGGGGCGAGCGUUGUCCGGAGUUACUGGGCGUAAAGCGCUUGUAGGCGGUCCACCAAGUUUGGGGUGACAGUUGCCGACUUAAUCGGCAAAGUGCCUUAAAGACUGGCGGACUUGAGGGCCACAGAGGGACAUGGAACUCCAGGUGUAGUGGUGAAAUGCGUAGAUAUCUGGAAGAACACCAAAGGCGAAGGCAGUGUCCUGGGUGGUCGCUGACGCUGAGAGGCGAAAGCCAGGGGAGCGAACGGG
rnacentral:rRNA from 1 species